GUUGUAUGUGAAGGAGUUGGGACAAAAGAAACGCAAAGAAACUGACAGAAGAGAGUGAGCACACAAAAGCAAUUUGCAUAUGUUUAUGUCCAAGCCGAUCUCACUGCAUUUGCUUCUCUUGCGUGCUCACUGCUCUUUCUGUCAGAUUCCGGUGCUGAUCUCUUUGGCCUGUCCUCGUUCUCUUUGUCUCAAUCUU
rnacentral:precursor_RNA from 1 species